GCUGAUCUUUGCUUUGCUAAGAGGCACAGCUGAGAACGUCUCCUGGGUUCCUCUUGCUCCCUCCCGCUGAUUUGUGCUGAGGCUGAGGCCCUGCUCUCUGCUAAGUUGUGUCAUGGCUGUUGCUAACCUGACUCUAUUGAACUGGACUGCGGGUGUAUCCACAAAGUGUUUGUAAGUGAGCUGCUGCUGCCUGCUAAUCUGUGACCUGAACCGUUGAUACCCAGGCGACACAAAUGGGAGUUGCCCCAUGUCCUUUCUUUCCCACUACCUCUGGAGGGUGGUAGGCUACAAGGGAGGUUAAAGCAUCAAAGAACUAUGAUUAAAAAUAAGGUUUGGAAAAAUUAAAGUUACAGGUGGCGCCCAACAUGGUUUAGGCAUAAUGGGUAACUCUGCUUCUAAUGCACAGGAAAUGGCUGAUUAUGAGGGUUUAGCAAUGUUGCUUAAGGAGAUUGGCAAAAUGGCAGCUACUGUUGCUAGGAGGUAUUGUGCCUUGCUCGCAGAGGGGACUUCUUAGUUUUGAUUUGUAGUUUUCAUAAAUACUAUUUUGAAAAAGUUUAAUGGGAAACCCUUCUGUUAGAGAAGAUCGCAGAGUUGGCCAUGCAUUUAGAGAUUUUGUGGAUAGAGGCAGAAGUGCUUGGAAAACACAAAGAGCCAAUGGGGGUCGGGGGGGGGGGGAGUGUUGUUCAGGCUUGGUGAAUGAGAACAGGACUGUACUGAACGAUGAAAGCAAACUAGGCAGGAAGGUAAACUGCUGUCCCACCCUGCUUCUAGGGGCCUGAAAGAGCAGGGAACAGCACAGUAUAACAGGCUAAGGUGUAGCCAAGUGUACCACCAGAGAAUUUGCUUGGGCCUACACAGGCACCUUCAGCCUCCCCUGUCUGUGCAGCAUAUGCCUGGUAUCAAUGGUGGAGAGGCUUACAAUGAAUUAACCUGGAGACCAAUAUAAAUGUCAGAUUUAAAGCAUUUUAAAGAGGCUGUGAUAUUGCAUGGCUUACAUUCUUUUGUCAAAGAAAUGCUAAACAACUGGGCUACAUAUACAUCCCAGGCUUAUCCCACAAGAUUGGAAGGGAUUGGUGUCAGCUGUUCUAGAAGUUGGUCAACAAUUACAAUGGUUGUUGCGGUGGAGGCACGAAGCCACAGGACUAGCACAACAUAAUUUAGCAAGGGGGAAUACACGUUACUAAAGACUAGCUGCUUGGUGAAGGGCGUUGUGCUGACUUACAAGAACAAAUCCAAUUUGAUGAUGAUGUAAUCGAGCAAUGUUGUACUGCAGCUUUAAAAGCUUGGGAUUUGGUUGAUUUGGGGGAGAAUCUACUGUAUUUACUAAAAUAAUACAGGGCUCUGGGGAAGCCUUCGCAGAAUUCUUACAGAGGUUGAGUUCAGCUGUGAAUAGAGCCAUAACACACCCUGAAAGCAGACAGUCAUUGAUAGAAAUAUUGGCAUUUAAUAAAUGCAAAUACCAAAUGUUAGAGAGUAGUAAGACCAUUGAAAGCAUGUGGAGCUCCAAUAGAUGAAUGGAUAAGGGAGACAACUGAUAUUGGUUCUCAGGAGUAGCAAAUCAUAGCUAGAAAUUUCAGGAAUCAAAGUGCUGGAUGUAAAUGUGGCGCAUUUUGGUCAUUUCCAAAGAAACUGUAAGGCAGAGAAUUCAGAGGAUUCAGAGCUCAAAGUAACAGGCGCAAUGGUGAUCAUAGGAGAGAAUGAGCAGGUUCCGGUCAUGUCACUACGAGCCACCAAGGCUUCCAGGGUAUCGUAGCCACUGUGGAGAGGGCAAACAUUGGUCAACAGACUGCUGGUCUAAGAGAGACAUAAGAGGUAACCUCUUGUCAUUUGGAAAAGAACAGAGGGGUCUGUCAACGCCAGGCCCUGCAGCAAAACACCACCCAACACAACUGGCUCUCCAAAGAACCCUUAAGUUUCCACUUCAGGGACACAUGCAGAAGAGAUCUCGUGGUGACACAGGAGGAAGAGACUAUGGAGGGACUGGGCUCAUUCUAUGUAUUUAUUGUUUUGCUUACUAAAUAAUUAACUAGUUAAUUACCUAGUUAAUUAGUUAACCUUAGAGACAGGGUCUCAUGUAGCCUAAGGCUGGCUUCAAAUCCACAAUUCUGCCUUGUAGCAAUCGUCUCAAGGCUAAGAUCACAGGUGUGUUCCAUCAUCCCAAACAGUAAGUAUUCUUGAAAUAUCAAAUGACUAUGAGACACAGCAACUACUUUGGUUUUGUUAAAAGGAUGUGGGACUAUUGACAUGGGGAAGAGGGUGGUUUUAAAAAUAGUCGAAUUUUCUCACCCAAAUCCACAACUAUAGAACUACAAUGGCUGUUUAGCUUACAAGCACAGUCGAGGGCGUUAGUACUCAGCAGACAGUGACAUAAAUAAAUAACUGAGAAAUCAACUAAGCAUGGUUGAGAUUCUCUGCCAGUAAAAGCUCUGAGGGAAGAUUAGAUACCUUGAAUCAAUGUCAAAAUUCUACAGUGGUGGUAUGCACCUUUAAUUUCAGCACUAGAGAAGAUGCAGUGGGCAGGUCUCUGUGAGUUCAAGGCCAUCUGGUCUACAUAGUGAGUUCCAGGACAGCUAGGGCUAUAGAGAGAGAUCAAGUCUCACAAAUAUACAAACGAAACCCUUCAGCUCAGCUGAGUGGUAUUUGUCUAUGAAAUCAAAAAUGGAAGAGACCAGUGAAGUCUGGAGGAGUUUUCAGUUGUGCUCGGCUGCCCGCUCACCUUACUAGAUUAUAAAGCACUCCAGAGGUUAGUGGCAGAACAGUUGGCCAUAAUUGUUCUUUCGUCAUUAUGCAGAAGAAUAAAAUGCAGAAGACAGUAGCAAGUAUGCUAUCAUGUCUGCUCAAAUGAGGAAGUAGAGGGAAAGUAGAGAUAUGGCAUUUGUUGCUCUUGUAGAGGACUGGGCUUCAGUUCCCAGCACCCAUACAAUGGCUCACAAUCACAUACGUAUAUGCAUGCCCCUUAAAUAUGUCAACACAAUAUAUUUUUAAAGGAUGAGGUAAAGCUAUAUCAACCUACUUGAAGUUCUUUUCCAGUAUUUAAAGCUUCAUAAAGAAAGCACACUGGCCUGGCGUUGGUGUUGCAUGCCUUUAAUCCCAGCACUUGGGAGGCAGAGGCAGGUGGAUUUCUGAGUUCAAGGCCAGCCAAAGUGAGUUCCAGGACAGCCAGGGCUACACAGAGAAACCCUGUCUC
rnacentral:lncRNA from 1 species